rnacentral:rRNA from 1 species
ACGUGUUACAAUGGGGGGUACAGAGGGUCGCUACCACGCGAGUGGAUGCCAAUCCCCAAAACCUCUCUCAGUUCGGACUGGAGUCUGCAACCCGACUCCACGAAGCUGGAUUCGCUAGUAAUCGCGCAUCAGCCACGGCGCGGUGAAUACGUUCCCGGGCCUUGUACACACCGCCCGUCAAGCCAUGGGAGCCGGGGGUACCUGAAGUGCGUAACCGCGAGGAGCGCCCUAGGGUAAAACUGGUGACUGGGGCUAAGUCGUAACAAGGUAAC